rnacentral:rRNA from 1 species
CCUACGGGAGGCAGCAGUGGGGGAUAUUGCACAAUGGGGGAAACCCUGAUGCAGCGACGCCGCGGGGGGGAAGAAGAGACUCGGCGCGUAAAGCCCUGUCAGCAGGGAAGAAAAUGACGGUAACUGAAGAAGAAGCCCCGGCUAACUACGUGCCAGCAGCCGCGGUAAUACGUAGGGGGCAAGCGGUAUCCGGAUUUACUGGGUGUAAAGGGGGCGCAGACGGCGAUGCAAGCCAGGAGUGAACGCCCGGGGCCCAACCCCGGGACUGCCCUUGGAACUGCGUGGCUAGAGUGCAGGAGGGGCAGGCGGAAUUCCUGGUGUAGCGGUGAAAUGCGUAGAUAUCAGGAGGAACACCGGUGGCGAAGGCGGCCUGCUGGACUGCAACUGACGUUGAGGCCCGAAAGCGUGGGGAGCAAACAGGAUUAGAUACCCCGGUAGUC